CACAUCUGCACAUGAGAUCGGGGUUAGAGACAAAAGACAGCCGUGUAUUAGCAUUCUGAAUCUCAUUAAGUCUGAAUGAUGGCUCUGGAGGUGCAGAAAAGCGAGUGCUAAUUCUAGGAUUUAGAGCUCAAUCUGUCUCUUCCAUCAGGCUGAAACUGGAGCUGGAAAAGUUGCCAGCAGAAAAGCGCUAACGAUCCAUUUCCCACAUUCCUCAGGCAACAUCUACAGUAACUGAGAUGCAGAAACAGGAAGCAGCGAGUUAGUGUUGGUACAAAAAGUGCUCUAAAACUGGUGACCUAAAGACCAGGUCAUGAUGGAGCCAUGCUUAGGAUAACCGUAAUGACCCAACAU